rnacentral:rRNA from 1 species
AUUGAACGCUGGCGGCAGGCCUAACACAUGCAAGUCGAGCGGAUGAAGGGAGCUUGCUCCUGGAUUCAGCGGCGGACGGGUGAGUAAUGCCUAGGAAUCUGCCUGGUAGUGGGGGAUAACGUCCGGAAACGGGCGCUAAUACCGCAUACGUCCUGAGGGAGAAAGUGGGGGAUCUUCGGACCUCACGCUAUCAGAUGAGCCUAGGUCGGAUUAGCUAGUUGGUGGGGUAAAGGCCUACCAAGGCGACGAUCCGUAACUGGUCUGAGAGGAUGAUCAGUCACACUGGAACUGAGACACGGUCCAGACUCCUACGGGAGGCAGCAGUGGGGAAUAUUGGACAAUGGGCGAAAGCCUGAUACAGCCAUGCCGAGUGUGUGAAGAAGGUCUUCGGAUUGUAAAGCACUUUAAGUUGGGAGGAAGGGCAGUAAGUUAAUACCUUGCUGUUUUGACGUUACCAACAGAAUAAGCACCGGCUAACUUCGUG